ensembl:lncRNA
UUUGUGUGUUGUACUUUAUUUUUCAGGGUUAGUAUGUUUGAAUGGUGGGUGUAGAAUUUAACAGACAGGACAGUCAAUGAGAACAACAGACAAGACAGGACAGCAGACGCGACAUGGACAUUGUGCAAGCCAGGACGGUGGGUUGAGAGGUCGGGGGGAAUGGGGGGUGAGAAGUUGUUGGGGUGUCGGUUGUGUUAAUUAAUACGUAUAACAGAAUGUUGUGUGUAUGUGUGUGUAAUUUAGCUGCAUGUGUUUGUGAGCAUUGUUCUUGAGAUGUGUGGUAUGGCUUUGAUUAUGUGGUUUGUCUGUAGGGACUGUAUUGCUAGAGAUUGUGAGGUGAUUCCCUGGUGUAUGUAGGUGAUGAGUGGUGUCCAAAUAGAGUCAAAUUUGGUAGCUUUAGUUUUGAUCGAGGCAGAGAUUUUUUCCAUUGUUAAGUAGUUGAUUAUUAGGUUUUUAUAAUGGGUGAUAUUAAUGUUAUUCUUUGAUUUCCAGUCUGACAGCUUGGCAGAGAUCUUUGAAACCAAGAUAAGUGAUGUAGUGAGUGCACAUGGGGAUAGGUAGAAAUUGAACAGUUGAGUAGUGAACAAUUGCCUUGUAUAGUAUUGAACAAUUAACUUGUAUAGUAGUGAACAAU